UGGGGAAUUUUGGACAAUGGGGGAAACCCUGAUCCAGCCAUCCCGCGUGUGCGAUGAAGGCCUUCGGGUUGUAAAGCACUUUUGGCAGGAAAGAAACGUCGCGGGUUAAUACCCCGCGAAACUGACGGUACCUGCAGAAUAAGCACCGGCUAACUACGUGCCAGCAGCCGCGGUAAUACGUAGGGUGCAAGCGUUAAUCGGAAUUACUGGGCGUAAAGCGUGCGCAGGCGGUUCGGAAAGAAAGAUGUGAAAUCCCAGAGCUUAACUUUGGAACUGCAUUUUUAACUACCGGGCUAGAGUGUGUCAGAGGGAGGUGGAAUUCCGCGUGUAGCAGUGAAAUGCGUAGAUAUGCGGAGGAACACCGAUGGCGAAGGCAGCCUCCUGGGACAACACUGACGCUCAUGCACGAAAGCGUGGGGAGCAAACAGGAUUAGAUACCCUGGUAGUCCACGCCCUAAACGAUGUCAACUAGCUGUUGGGGCCUUCGGGCCUUGGUAGCGCAGCUAACGCGUGAAGUUGACCGCCUGGGGAGUACGGUCGCAAGAUUAAAACUC
rnacentral:rRNA from 1 species